UUCAGAACAUUUUUAAAUUUCUCUGCAGUGGAAGAGAAUUCUUUGAGAAGAAGAUAGAGGUGUUUGAUGCUUUCGUAGUAAUCUUUUCCUUCAUCCUGGAUCUUGUUUUCAUCAAAGGAGUCCAUUCUUUCAAAGUCCAGAAAUUUCUUGUCAUUUUGAUUAUUCUUGUUCCAUGGAGAAUUAUUCGAGUUGUAAACAGUCUUAUAGUUGCUGUGACAGACCACGCCCAUUUUAGAAUGAAAUUGCUUUACAAACAGAAGAAAAAUGUGACACAAGAAUUAAAGACCUGUAAAACUGACAUC